GGGGGGGGGGGGGGGGGGGGGGGGGGGGGGCGGGGGGGGCGGGGGGAGGGAGGUGGCGCCUGGAUUCAGCGGCGGACGGGGGAGUAAUGCCUAGGAAUCUGCCUGGUAGUGGGGGAUAACGUCCGGAAACGGGCGCUAAUACCGCAUACGUCCUGAGGGAGAAAGUGGGGGAUCUUCGGACCUCACGCUAUCAGAUGAGCCUAGGUCGGAUUAGCUAGUUGGUGGGGUAAAGGCCUACCAAGGCGACGAUCCGUAACUGGUCUGAGAGGAUGAUCAGUCACACUGGAACUGAGACACGGUCCAGACUCCUACGGGAGGCAGCAGUGGGGAAUAUUGGACAAUGGGCGAAAGCCUGAUCCAGCCAUGCCGCGUGUGUGAAGAAGGUCUUCGGAUUGUAAAGCACUUUAAGUUGGGAGGAAGGGCAGUAAGUUAAUACCUUGCUGUUUUGACGUUACCAACAGAAUAAGCACCGGCUAACUUCGUG
rnacentral:rRNA from 1 species